rnacentral:rRNA from 1 species
CUACGUGCCAGCAGCCGCGGUAAUACGUAGGGCGCGAGCGUUGUCCGGAAUUAUUGGGCGUAAAGGGCUUGUAGGCGGUUGGUCGCGUCUGCCGUGAAAUUCUCUGGCUUAACUGGGGGCGUGCGGUGGGUACGGGCUGACUUGAGUGCGGUAGGGGAGACUGGAACUCCUGGUGUAGCGGUGGAAUGCGCAGAUAUCAGGAAGAACACCGGUGGCGAAGGCGGGUCUCUGGGCCGUUACUGACGCUGAGGAGCGAAAGCGUGGGGAGCGAACAGGAUUAGAUACCCUGGUAGUCCACGCUGUAAACGUUGGGCACUAGGUGUGGGGGCCACCCGUGGUUUCUGCGCCGUAGCUAACGCUUUAAGUGCCCCGCCUGGGGAGUACGGCCGCAAGGCUAAAACUCAAAGGAAUUGACGGGGGCCCGCACAAGCGGUGGAGUAUGUGGUUUAAUUCGACGCAACGCGAAGAACCUUACCAAGCCUUGACAU